UACGUAGGGUGCAAGCGUUGUCCGGAAUUAUUGGGCGUAAAGAGCUCGUAGGCGGUCUGUUGCGUCGGCUGUGAAAACCCGGGGCUCAACUCCGGGCCUGCAGCCGAUACGGGCAGACUAGAGUUCGGCAGGGGAGACUGGAAUUCCUGGUGUAGCGGUGAAAUGCGCAGAUAUCAGGAGGAACACCGGUGGCGAAGGCGGCGAUCUGGACGAUGACUGACGCUGAGACGCGAAAGCGUGGGGAGCAAACAGG
rnacentral:rRNA from 1 species